ACAAAUUGAUCAGUAAUUAUGCAUUCUUUUGUCAUAACAGUUUGAUGUAAAUUGUCAUUUGAUUCAUUUUCGGUGCACUUGAAAGAGCCAUCUCUCAAUUGACUUCAGAAUGUUGGCUAGCACAUUUUCAUCUUCUAAGAUCUUUCAUAUUUUCCUUUUACGAAAUUAUAUAUACACGGACUGACAGGACAUGCUUUAUCUUUUUCAUCUUUGUUUAUCCUGUAAUAACUAAAUUUGACAAGAAACAAGAAGAAAAAAAUCUUUGGUAACUCUUUCAUUAAUAUCUGAAGGAUUACUAUCAUUAAUUAUUUUGUCUUAUAUCAAAUUUCUUAUAGUCCAUCCCAUGAAAGAAAAAACCUCUUUUAUUUCUCCCUCAUUUUUGAAAAGAGGAAAACAAUGAAAAAAUGUUUAUUUUUUCGAUGCUUUAUAAAUAUCUUUUAACAAGGAAGACCAGAACAUGUUUUUGUUUUGAUAAUAGUAGAUGCAGAUGAAAGUAUGACAAUGGAAGCAAGAUGAUUAUAACUAAACCUAAAUGUGGGAUUAGGCACCUGUAUAUGCAGCAGUUGUUACUGUAGCCCCGGUAGUUGUUAUGCUGGCAGUUUGAUGAUGUGAUGCGUGGCUUGGUGGUUGACCAAAGUACUUUGCAGACUCUUGGAAGUCACUGGGUGGAGGUUUCAGGUGACCUGCAAGGGUGCCGCUCUUAUGGAGGUGGUUGGCAGUAUUGAAGAACAAAAUUUUUUUUUCUACCUUGUCUCAAAGGAUGUGUUGAAAAUGUGCAUUACCUUGGGGCAACAAUUUCAAAUGAUAAAAAUCUUCCAACCAUUUGCAACUUCUGCACUGGAUUUUUCUUUAGUUUCUAAAAAGCUAUACGUAUCAAAGUCUGUUACUUCCCAUGAGAUUUUAGUUUAUCAUCUAAUUAUUGCUCAUAAACUGGAUCAUUGAUCUUCUUUUGUGCUUGUAUUGAAGUGCAAUAAAACAUGUUGAUUUGAACAAUAACAGUUCAAACUUUCAUUUUUGACCUUUGUAUCGUGUCAAAAACUAAAUCAUACUUACCUUGAUGUAUCAAAAUGCCACAUGUUGCUGAUGUUUAUGCGGUCAAAGGAUGAGAAAAAACUUAUUUGUCCUAGUAUACUUUUGUGCUAGAUUAACAAAAUCUCUGAAUGGUAUGAGUUUAUGUUUGCUUAAUAGUCACAGGUUGGUUUGAGGAUCUGUUUACUCGUUUGUCGCAUGCUUGUAAGUAUUCUUGUGAUUUAUCCAUGGCGUGAUUAAUCGAUGGUGGAUACUAUAAACAAUUCACUAGAAGGAAACCAAUAACUUGUUGCAUUCUUUUAGUAGGCAUGAUUACUUUCUUUGAUCUGUUUAAUUGCUCAGUGAUAAUUAUAUUUCAUGAAAUAUGGAGCUUCAAUAAUUUCUUCCAUAGUUCAGAAAUGUAGACUAACAGUUCUCCAACCCGUCUAGGAUGCCAGGGUAACAAUGCUUGGUGUCGUUCCAAGUAUUGUGCGUGCAUGGAAGAACACAAAUUGUACCAUGGGUCUCAAUUGGUCAGCGAUUCGGUAAUAAUAUCAAUUUUGGAAGGUUGUUUUACUACAUCCUUUUGACUCUGGGAGUGAUAAAAUAUAAUUUACUUGUGUGUAGUUGCUUUAGCUCCACUGGAGAGGCAUCCAGUGUGGAUGAUUACCUAUGGCUCAUGGGAAGAGCUUACUACAAACCAGUGAUCGAAUAUUGUGGCGGUACAGAAAUUGGAGGUGGAUUUGUUACUGGGUCACUGUUGCAGCCUCAGGCAUUGGCUGCAUUCAGUACACCCGCAAUGGGUUGCAAGUUAUUUAUCCUUGACAGUGAUGGAAAUCCACUUGUAAGUACUCUGCUCCAACUAUUUUUUGCAAGGUCAUAUUAUCACAUUAUGCCAUCUAAAAUUUUAAGCAAAAAAUUCUAUGUGAAACACAGUCCAUAAAGAUUUGAUGCCAUGCAGUAAGUUGUGCAAAGUGGGUUCCAUCAUCUCAUUUGUUGUAGAAACAAUAUUCAACAUGUAUCCUGGGAUACAUGGUAGCGAAAAGCUUCAUCUGCUCAACUCUUUGCAACUGAAGUAUCAUCAAAGUUAUAAAUGUCUAUUGGAAUAUCUUAGUGGGGAUAAUGAAUUGUAAUAUAUAUAAAGCGACUAGCGAAGUUCAUCCAUCGAACUUGUCGAGAAUAUAUGUAAUGGAUUGUUUUCGUUUUUUGAAUCACAGCCGGAAACUGCUGCUGGGAUUGGUGAGUUAGCUCUCAAUCCAACAAUGUUCGGAGCAUCAGUAACAUUAUUAAAUGCUGAUCAUUACGAUGUCUACUUUAAGGGCAUGCCAGUUCUCAAUGGAAAGGUAAGCCUUUUACCUACACUCAGUGGUCUUCUUCCAUUGAGUUCAUAGGUCUAAUCAGGCUUGGACAUGCAGCUACUUCGAAGACAUGGAGAUGAAUUCGAGCGGACUGCUAGUGGAUAUUACAAGGCACAUGGUCGUACAGAUGACACAAUGAAUCUUGGUGGCAUUAAGGUACACAUCAGCAACGACACAUUUCGGUCUUAAGACAAACAAACUAAUCCAUGUUAGUUAAUCCAUCAAUGCUCAGGUAAGUUCUGUCGAGAUCGAACGGAUCUGUAACAGCGUCAGUAGUUCUAUCCUUGAGACAGCUGCAAUCGGGGUCCCUCCAUCUACCGGUGGCCCUGAGCAAUUAGUCAUGGCUGUCAUUUUUAAAGAUCAAAGCUUUUCGGAAGAAAAUUUGGAAAAGUUAAGGUUGGCCUUCAAUUCUGCACUACAGAAGAGACUGAAUCCUCUAUUCAAGGUACUUGCUUUCUUUUGUCUACAUUAUUAUUUUCUGAAGCAUAUUUAUUCACCACUGCUGUAAGGCAUGUAUAUAUAUUUUUACUUCAUACAAGGUUUCAUCUGUUGUGCCUGUGCCAUCUCUUCCGCGGACUGCUUCAAACAAGGUUAUGAGAAGAGUUCUGCGGCAGCAAUUCUCUAAACGUUCCAAGUUCUAGUAUCAUCAAACCCCCUUUGUUUUGUUUUAAUACUAAAUCCCUGAGAGCAUGAUUAGUGAUUGAUCUUUCUAUUGAGUGGCUCUAGUAAAGGGAGAAUAAAGUAAUGUUGGUGGAUGUGAAAGACAAAUAUUGUCAACUGGACCAGGUUAUGAAGCAAACUUUUUCUCAGCUUAUAAAUCAAUUUUGCCAUCCUGUACUACACUAGUUAGUAUCCAUGGACGACUAGUGUACAACCCUGCUGCAUAUUCUUUGGUAAUUGCUCAGCACAUGUUAACAGGGAUUCUCAAAUUUCCCAUCCACAGCCUGUGUUACUAUGACAAAUCAACUGUGAGUCUCCAUCCUCCCCAUUCUUGGUCCUUGUUUAAAGCUGUCUCGCAUAUUUACUUGCCUUAUUUUGUCAAGCCUCCAUCAUCUGCAAAGAUUAGAAGAUAGCUGUCCUACAAGCUAUCAGACCUUCCUGGCAUUAUGGUUUCUACCCCUUUCUCGGUGAGAGCUAUCUACCAAUGGCAUCAUGGUGUGUGGAUUAUAGGAGUCAUGAUGAUAUCCACAUUUUUUUGGGAUUGAACUAACUAUAUAUUUAGCUAAAAAUUAAUGGACAACCAUAAUCAUCCUCGUAAGAAAUGGGUCAACCAAGUCUAGAAGCAUGAGGCUCAAUUUCAUUUAGAAUUCACAGCAAUUUCAUUCAUAAAUAAAAGGGGAUAAACUAGGAUUUUAUAUAUGUAAAUAAUGGAAUCCGUCAGACUGAAUUGACGGAUAAAGACUCUCAAAGAAACUGUACUUGUUUUCAAAUCACUCUGUUUCUAAAACUUACAAGACAUGAUAUAUAUAUAUAUAUAUAUAUAUAUAUAUAUAUAUAUAUAUAUAUAUAUAUAUAUAUAUAUAUAUAUNNNNNNNNNNNNNNNNNNNNUAUAUAUAUAUAUAUAUAUAUAUAUAUAUAUAUAUAUAUAUAUAUAUAUAUAUAUAUAUAUAUAUAUAUAUAUAUAUAUAUAUAUAUAUAUAUAUAUAUGUGUGACAGGCUUAAGAACAAUCCUCAAGACAGUAAUCUUAGAAUUAUGUGAAACGAAUCUAAAAUUCCCAACUUACUGAAAAACUAAGGGACCAUCGUAAAUACCUUAACUUCUCUUGAUUAAGGGCAUGGAGCCGCUCCUAUGUCACUUUAUUGCAGCAUCUCGUUGCCAUGGGGCAGAGAAAAAGAAAACCUCAAAACUAAACAGCUAAUUUGCUCGGAUUAGCAUAUGACUCGGCCUUGAUUCUUGGCCAGUAAUCCAAUGGCUCAACAGGGACGCCGAAUGAUGCCAAAAUGGACUCGAGCACAAGUGUCGGAUCUUCACCUGCAAAUAUAUAACCAUGAAAAAAUUGUUGAGAGCGACACAAAAUCAUGGAAAUGUCAGCACGCAGCGUGUUCAACUCUAGCAUUUUAUCUCAGUGAUAAUUCAUCUGAUCUUUAACUGUAUGGCUUUCUUUUUUCUCCGGUGCCAACUUAAGUUACGAUAUCUACUACGUAUUUGCAUAAACCUCUGAAUACUAACAUUACGUAGACUUGAAUAAUCCAAAGGCUUUUCAGAUCAAAGGACUAUUAGACCUAAACUCCUGCAAGUUCAAAAUGACUAAGAAGAAGAAAAGCAGUUAAAGAACAAUAUAGAGGAAAAGGAAGCGAAAAAGGGAAGAAACCAAGGAUGACAAAAUAAUGGUCAACUUCAAGGAAAUAAUUAAUCCCAUCACUAAAUUUUGUCACACAUCUUACCGAGGAACAGCCCUUAAAUCACAAGAUAUGCUCGGAUGCAAAUUUCUAAGAAGAUGAGGAACCUGGGUUUAUUUCUACAGGAAGACAGAAGAAGGAAUGAAUUUGCGAAAUACCUGGAUGUAGUAAUAUUCAUGCACAGUUCUACCUUGGUUCUUGCUCAUGGAAAACAUGACAUCGACAAGUAUGCGUGCAGGCCUGUAUUAGUCUUUCUUCUCAAAACCUUUACAAGUUGAAGCCAAUCCCAGCAUGCACUGAGAUUUCAUUGUUUUCCUAAAACCUUGCAUGAGAGAUUGAAAGAACUAAUUGUUCUAUACUUGUCAUCAAUGUUAAGCAACUGAAAUAGCAUCUUCUUAGAGAAAGUUUGUAACACAUUCGAAACCUGAUGGGCUAAAGAGUGAUACACAUGCCACAUGCGAAUCACUGUGAUAUUGAUGGCCAACAAGAUUGUUCCUCUAAAAUGGUGUUUUUUGUGCAUAAACUCUCGGCUAAUCACAUGAAGAAUUGUUGCACAGACUAUCAGGAAAGCCAUGUAACAACUACGAAGUAUACAAGAAAACAACCCAACCAUAGAUCGACUGUAUACAGGGCAUGCACAAUAAAUCGUAAAUAUAUGAGCUUAAGUAGCCUAUCACAUUGAGUUAAAAGGAGAACCAGUUGCUUACCCAAUGUAAAAUUUGGAGUAGUUUGGCACCUUCGGGCUGUACAACUCUAAGCUCCUCCUGGGGAGUGAAAUUAUGAGUGUUUAAUCUCCACAUUUUGCUUGAUAACUCCACUAAAUUUAUAGCCAGUUCAAUCUUGCAAGCUGGAACAGGAAAUAAGAUCCCAAAGAACUUAAAACUCAAUCGUCCUUG
rnacentral:lncRNA from 1 species